rnacentral:ncRNA from 1 species
UGAAAGAUUUGGUCCUAGCCUUAGUAUUAAUUGCAACUAAAAUUAUACAUGCAAGUUUCCAGCAUCCCUGUGAGAAUGCCCUAAUUAAUCUAUUAAUUAAUUAGGAGCAGGUAUCAGGCACAUCCUUAUUAGCCCAAGACACCUUGCUAAGCCACACCCCCAAGGGAUUUCAGCAGUAAUAAACAUUGAUAUAUAAGCGAAAGCUUGAAUCAGUUAAAGUUAAUAGGGUUGGUAAAUCUCGUGCCAGCCACCGCGGUUAUACGAGUAACCCAAACUAAUACUUUACGGUGUAAAGAGUGAUUUAAGGAAAAAACUACGAAAACUAAAGUUAAGACCUCAUUUAACAGUUAUACGUACUUAUGAAUAGAAUAAUCAACAACGAAAGUGACUUUACCCAGCCAGUAAUCUUGAUGUCACGACAGUUAGGACCCAAACUAGGAUUAGAGACCCUACUAUGCCUAACCUUAAACCUAAACAAUAAAUUACUAUAUUGUUCACCAGAGAACUACAAGCGCUAGCUUAAAACCCAAAGGACUUGGCGGUGCCCUACACCCACCUAGAGGAGCCUGUUCUAUAACCGAUAAUCCCCGUUAAACCUCACCAUCUCUUGCUAUUACCGCCUAUAUACCGCCGUCGUCAGCUUACCUUGUGAAAGCUAAAAAGUAAGCACAAAAAACAUAACUCUUAUACGUCAGGUCGAGGUGUAGCGAAUGAAAUGGAAAGAAAUGGGCUACAUUCUUUAACUAAAAAACACGAAUGGUACACUGAAAAAUUAUCUAAAGGUGGAUUUAGCAGUAAGAGAAGAUCAGAAAGCUUCUCUGAAACUGGCCCUAGGGCGCGCACACACCGCCCGUCACUCUCCUCAAAAACACUUAACCACUUCUAUAAAAAAAUUACUAAACAAGAGGAGGCAAGUCGUAACAUGGUAAGUGUACUGGAAAGUGCACUUGGAAU